GUCCGAAUGGCACAGGCACUUCUGAGCCAGUAAGGAAGGUUACUUGAGGAACCAUUUCACGCCACUAGGACUGGCCUGCCCCACCUGUGCUGGUGGAAGAGGUAUGCUAUGGGCACUGUCAGUCAAGGAAUUCCAGCUGGUGGGGUCCAGAAGAACAGCCUUCUCUGCCGCACAACCCGGGCCCUUUGGAACAUCUUGCCGCUUUGAGUGAUAUAAUCAUGGCACUGCUGGGGAGGAGCCCUGCCCUCAAGAAAUUGCUGGGAAAUUUUAUUUUCCUUGGAGAAACUGUCUACCCAAUUUAACAAAAUAGCAGAGUUGGAAGGGACCUCGGAGGUCUUCUAGUCCAACUCUCUGCUCAAGAAGGAAACCCUAGCUAGAACAUAAUUACAUAGAGAUAAUUACAUAGAGAAAUCUUACUGACCACAUAGUAGAGUGAUAGUACACAGAAUCACCCUUGUAACCCAGGAAGAAGAAGCAUCCAUAUGGGGUAGAAGGUA